rnacentral:tRNA from 1 species
UAGCUCAGUGUUAGAGCACAUAUUUGGUACGUAGGAAGGCCUGGGUUUGAUCCCCAG